AUUGAACGCUGGCGGCAGGCCUAACACAUGCAAGUCGAGCGGAGCGGCGGACGGGUGAGUAAUGCCUAGGAAUCUGCCUGGUAGUGGGGGAUAACGUCCGGAAACGGGCGCUAAUACCGCAUACUAUCAGAUGAGCCUAGGUCGGAUUAGCUAGUUGGUGGGGGAAAGGCCUACCAAGGCGACGAUCCGUAACUGGUCUGAGAGGAUGAUCAGUCACACUGGAACGAAGGUAAGGCCCAGAGUCCUUCGGGAGGCAUCAGUGGGGGAUAUGGAACAAUGGGCGAAAGCCUGAUGCAGCGACGCCGAGUGGGGGAGGAAGGCUUUCGGGUUGUAAACCUCUUUCGCUAUCGAACGGGUAGGUGGAGAAGAAGCGCCGGCUAACUACGUGCCAGCAGCCGCGGUAAUUC
rnacentral:rRNA from 1 species